rnacentral:rRNA from 1 species
GAUGAACGCUGGCGGCGUGCCUAAUACAUGCAAGUCGAGCGAACGGACGAGAAGCUUGCUUCUCUGAUGUUAGCGGCGGACGGGUGAGUAACACGUGGAUAACCUACCUAUAAGACUGGGAUAACUUCGGGACACCGGAGCUAAUACCGGAUAAUAUUUUGAACCGCAUGAUUCAAAAGUGAAAGACGGUCUUGCUGUCACUUAUAGAUGCAUCCGCGCUGCAUUAGCUAGUUGGUAAGGUAACGGCUUACCAAGGCAACGAUGCAUAGCCGACCUGCGAGGGUGAGCGGCCACACUGGAACUGAGACACGGUCCAGACUCCUACGGGAGGCAGCAGUAGGGAAUCGUCCGCAAUGGGCGAAAGCCUGACGGAGCAACGCCGCGUGAGUGAUGAAGGUCUUCGGAUCGGAAAACUCUGUUAUUAGGGAAGAACAUAUGUGUAAGUAACUGUGCACAUCUUGACGGUACCUAAUCAGAAAGCCACGGCUAACUACGUG